rnacentral:rRNA from 1 species
GACGAACGCUGGCGGCGUGCCUAAUACAUGCAAGUAGAACGCUGAAGGAGGAGCUUGCUUCUCUGGAUGAGUUGCGAACGGGUGAGUAACGCGUAGGUAACCCGCCUGGUAGCGGGGGAUAACUAUUGGAAACGGUAGCUAAUACCGCAUAAUAGUAGAUGUUGCAUGACAUUUGCUUAAAAGGUGCAAUUGCAUCACUACCAGAUGGACCUGCGUUGUAUUAGCUAGUUGGUGGGGUAACGGCUCACCAAGGCGACGAUACAUAGCCGACCUGAGAGGGUGAUCGGCCACACUGGGACUGAGACACGGCCCAGACGCCUACGGGAGGCAGCAGUAGGGAAUCUUCGGCAAUGGACGGAAGUCUGACCGAGCAACGCCGCGUGAGUGAAGAAGGUUUUCGGAUCGUAAAGCUCUGUUGUAAGAGAAGAACGAGUGUGAGGGUGGAAAGUUCACACUGUGACGGUAUCUUACCAGAAAGGGACGGCUAACUACGUG